rnacentral:misc_RNA from 1 species
CGGGUAGUGCAUUAGCAAAAUUCUGUUUCAUGAACAGAUACUUAACAGGGAGAACUUAACCUGCAGGCAAAUUUUCCCUCUAUCCAAGUCCAGCUUAGCCCCAGUCACUAACCAAUGUCCAGGGCUAUCCUGUGGGCCUCUUAUCAGCUGUGACAUGUCCACAAACUUCAAAAGCUUCUGCGUUUGCACUGGCACUGGAGGUCCUGAUGGGAACACACUAGAAUCCACAACCACUGCCUGUAGUUUCUCUUUUGCUGGAUUUCCUGAUAUCGAUGUGCUAAGGGCGGAGAAUAGGCCUGAAGACUUUUGUGAAUAUUCAGAGGAGACUUGAACCCAUCUUGAUUGUGCUACAAUAGAAUCCGAAACCUUGGAGUAGAGUAACCGAAGAUGGAGGACAUUCUUUGAGUCGUGUUUCUUUACGUGAAGUUGAGCUCCUGUAACAAUGUAGGCUGCAUCUUCUCUUCUACUACUCCAUCUUGGGUUGUAUUUCACAGAUGCUGUGCAUAUAUGGGAGAACAUUUUCCGAGAAACAGGUUCAAUGAAUCCUUCGUUAUUGCUUUCUUCUGAUCCCCUCCACAGCUGCGUCUCAUCUAUCUUGUUUUCAAGCAUAGUUGGAGUAUUCGAUAGAUGUUGGAGGUGUAUCGCUAACCUGUUGCCCUUCAUGCCUUCAAGAUAGAACCUCAUUCCAGUUACCGGUCUUUUUCCUGCCAUAACCUGAGUAGUAUUUACAUAUAAUUUGGGACCCAUGAAGUUGAAGUGGAGAGCUGGUGAAUGACUUGCCAUAUUUGUAGUAGGACCUAGAGGGAGGUCAUUGUGAAUAGGAGCCCAAAUCUUGUGAGAUUGGAACUCAAGAAAGUAUUGUAGAUCAGAUAUAGGAGGCUUGUAUCGAAGAUAAAGGUUGAUAGCGUGUGAUAAGAAACCUUUGCCAGGAGCACCUUUGAGGAGAGAAGUUAUAGGUAUGAAAUUAUAGUGAAUAGCAUCUGGGUUCGUUGGAACAGUCGGGAGCCACUCGCAGUGACUACUUGCUGAUAAAUCUCCACCCCUCUUUGUACAUAUCACCGUGAUUCCAUCUUUUGCACUCAUGGAUGAGAAGCUAUUGAAGGUAGCAGGUUGUGGAUCAAAGACAUUGAAUGCCUUUGGUGCCUUUUUCUUAUGGUAUUUAGAGUUAGCUGAAAAAUUGCAUGUCCCUGUAAAUAAUUGGUCUCCAAGGUCGUACAAGUGUUUCUUGAGCUCAGAUGGACCCAAGUUGGAAGAUCUAUCUUGCCUGACUAGGAUCACGUCUUGGCCUCCUAUGCUCAACCCCACAAUAAUAUGAGUUCCAUAUUUUUCAAUCAACCUGGCAAGGGCGCAAGGAUCCCAUGAGGAUGGAACUGCCUUAAGGAAUUCAUCGGAGAGAAUUAGCG